rnacentral:lncRNA from 1 species
GUGCGGGGCCGCGCUUCCGCCAGCGCCGCAGCGGGGAAUCUGCAGUUCAAAAUGGAAAGUAUUUAUUGACCAAAUUAACAGGUCUUUGGAGAAUUACGAACCAUGUUCAAGUCAAAACUGCAGCUGCUACCAUGGUGUCAUAGAAGAGGAUCUAACUCCUUUCCGAGGAGGCAUCUCCAGGAAGAUGAUGGCAGAGGUAGUCAGACGGAAGCUAGGGACCCACUAUCAGAUCACUAAGAACAGACUGUACCGGGAAAAUGACUGCAUGUUCCCCUCAAGGUGUAGUGGUGUUGAGCACUUUAUUUUGGAAGUGAUCGGGCGUCUCCCUGACAUGGAGAUGGUGAUCAAUGUACGAGAUUAUCCUCAGGUUCCUAAAUGGAUGGAGCCUGCCAUCCCAGUCUUCUCCUUCAGUAAGACAUCAGAGUACCAUGAUAUCAUGUAUCCUGCUUGGACAUUUUGGGAAGGGGGACCUGCUGUUUGGCCAAUUUAUCCUACAGGUCUUGGACGGUGGGACCUCUUCAGAGAAGAUCUGGUAAGGUCAGCAGCACAGUGGCCAUGGAAAAAGAA